CAGCCGCCACGGGAAUACAGAGGAUGCAAGCGUUAUCCGGAAUGAUUGGGCGUAAAGCGUCUGUAGGUGGCCUUUCAAGUCCGCCGUCAAAUCCCCGGGCUCAACCCUGGACAGGCAGUGGAAACUACCAAGCUGGAGUACGGUAGGGGCAGAGGGAAUCUCCGGUGGAGCGGUGAAAUGCGUAGAGAUGUGGAGGAACACCAGUGGCGAAGGCGACUCUCUGGUCUGUAACUGACGCUGAGGAGCGAAAGCGUGGGGAGCGAACAGGAUUAGAUACCCCUGUAGUCCCUGUCUCUUAUAC
rnacentral:rRNA from 1 species